GACGUAGGGCGCGAGCGUUGUCCGGAUUUAUUGGGCGUAAAGAGCUCGUAGGCGGCUCGUUGCGUCGGCUGUGAAAACCCGCAGCUCAACUGUGGGCUUGCAGCUGAUACGGGCGGGCUGGGAUUCGGUAGGGGAGACUGGAAUUCCUGGUGUAGCGGUGAAAUGCGCAGAUAUCAGGAGGAACACCGAUGGCGAAGGCAGGUCUCUGGGCAUUAACUGACGUGGAGGAGCGAAAGCAUGGGGGAGCGAACAGG
rnacentral:rRNA from 1 species